GCAGAUAAUGCGCGUCUGCCAUACUCGGGGGCAUGAUUUCAGUAUGAAGAAAAAAUGCCGACCUUUGUCUUGUAUGUCUGACAAGAAGAAAAAAAUGCCACUCCCCUCCAAGCUGGAUGUUCUGUGAAGCCAAAGAUUUACAGUCUAAUGAAACCUCCACCACAGUUAUUACGGUGUCAGAAUUCUUGCCUUUGUUUGGGAAAGUAAGCUUAUUGCAGCAAGUUGUGUUGGUGCCACAAGAUGCCACCCUUCCCUUGAAAAGAAGAGACUAAAGGUCUUGUAGCUUGUUCUACUCAUCUAGAGCUUGUGUACAUCUGCUAAGUCACCUGGGGAUUGCUCUCGGAAACCAUUUAAGCAACAGACAUGAAGGUGUUUGGUCAUAAACAACACAUUCUACAAGAGUAAUUAUCCAGUUGAUAUUUAUCUUGUUCCAGUCACCUUUAGAAAGCUGUUUGGUUUUGGAAAUCACUAGUGGGUAAAAAAGACCAAUUUGCAACUAGGCUCUCAUGCUCUGUUGAAAACUAUGUCACAAUAUCACAAUACUAGAUGCUGGGCUCAAGACAGCAAACAGAAAGCAGCAAGGGCAGUGACUGGAAGCUGGGAGAGAGGGUCAACAGCUGAAU
ensembl:lncRNA SLC8A1-AS1 SLC8A1 antisense RNA 1